GGCAGCUUGCAGAGGCACAUUGUUUCCUGUGACAUCCUGCGUGUGACCUGGGAUGGGGGAGGGCAACAGCAUCCGGAACUGCAGAUCUGUGGCCCGGUGCCCUGGGGUCUGACUCUCAGGAGUGAGGGCACCUGCAGAUGAGAAAAAUGACCUUCAGAAGGAAAGUUACAGCCCCAAGGCCCAGGACUAGAACCCUGGACUGGGAUUUAAAGCGACCUGGACGUUGAACCCACAGUUGAGUUGCAUGCAGCUCACCUAUUGACCCCGCCCCCGGGAAGCCUCCUCUGAAGCCUUAUACAUCUGGGGGCUCCCCUACAGUCUGUAUGCUUUAGUGAAAAACAGGCAUCUGUUGACAAGCGUGUUGUCUUGCUUAGAUACGGUGUCAUUUAGGGCAUGGACUGUGUUCUUUUUUGGGGAGCAGGGUAGCUUGGCCAGAAGCCUGCGACCUGCGCUCAGCAAUUGAUUUCACAAACAAGCCAGGAGGGAGUUAACCCCGACCUGCCAGGUGCAGAGCAGAAUCUGGAGGCCCAGCCAGGUGCUUCUCAGCUGGGUGUCCCUGCCAGGGCUGGCUGGCACCUGCAAAGAAUCCAGAAGAAUUAGAUCAAACCCCAGGAGGACAUCUAAAGACUUGGAGAAAGGCAAGAAGUUCGCUUAA